rnacentral:rRNA from 1 species
AAGUCGAGCGGAUCAUUCCUUCGGGAAUGGUUAGCGGCGGACGGGUGAGUAACACGUAGGCAACCUGCCCAUAAGACCGGGAUAACAUUCGGAAACGAAUGCUAAGACCGGAUACGCGAUCUUGCCGCAUGGCGGGAUCGGGAAACACGGCGCAAGCUGUGGCUUAUGGAUGGGCCUGCGGCGCAUUAGCUAGUUGGUGAGGUAACGGCUCACCAAGGCGACGAUGCGUAGCCGACCUGAGAGGGUGAACGGCCACACUGGGACUGAGACACGGCCCAGACUCCUACGGGAGGCAGCAGUAGGGAAUCUUCCACAAUGGACGCAAGUCUGAUGGAGCAACGCCGCGUGAGUGAGGAAGGCCUUCGGGUCGUAAAGCUCUGUUGCCAGGCAAGAAUAAGGGCAUGUUAACUGCAUGUCCGAUGACGGUACCUGAGAAGAAAGCCCCGGCUAACUACGUGCCAGCAGCCGCGGUAAUACGUAGGGGGCAAGCGUUGUCCGGAUUUAUUGGGCGUAAAGCGCGCGCAGGCGGCUUCUUAAGUCUGGUGUUUACGUGCGGGGCUCAACCCCGUGACGCACUGGACACUGGGAGGCUUGAGUGCAGAAGAGGACAGCGGAAUUCCUGGUGUAGCGGUGAAAUGCGUAGAUAUCAGGAGGAAGGCCUGUGGCGAAGGCGGCCCUCUGGUACUGGACUGACGCUGAGGCGCGAAAGCGUGGGGAGCAAA